rnacentral:rRNA from 1 species
GUGAACAUGCGGAAGGAUCAUUA